rnacentral:sRNA from 1 species
AUCGGCGAGCAAGUUCACCUUUGAAGCCUUGAAUCUCUCAGUCUGCUUGAAAGCAGGCGACAUCAGUCUGUUGCUGAGACCUUCCAUGUUGAAUAUCAGCAGCCGCUUCACUAAAUUGUUUUGCGGUUCACAGAUCAAACACUGGUGGCCUCUUCACCCAUGGGUUAAAAUAUGACCGGCGUCACCUUGAAAUAGGUCACACAUUUGCGUUCCGUAGGUGAACCUGCGGAAGGAUCAUUACAGAGUUAGGGUCUUUCAGGCCUAACCUUCACCCUGUGCGUACCCAUCCCAGUUGCUUUGGCAGGCCCGUUAGAGGCAACUCACCGGUGGCUACAGGCUGCCGAGCGCCUGUCAGAGACCCAUCAAAUUCUGUGAUUUGUGAUGUCUGAGUACCGAUACAAUCAUCAAAAACUUUCAACAACGGAUCUCUUGGUUCUGGCAUCGAUGAAGAACGCAGCGAAAUGCGAUAAGUAAUGUGAAUUGCAGAAUUCAGUGAAUCAUCGAAUCUUUGAACGCACAUUGCGCCCUUUGGCAUUCCGGAGGGCAUGCCUGUUCGAGCGUCAUUACACCACUCAAGCUUGGCUUGGUAUUGGGCUCUCAUUCCAGAUGAAUGUGCCCGGAAAGCAGUGGCGGCACAGCCCGACUUCAGGUAGUAUUAGCAUACCUAUCGCCUGAAAAGUCCGAGCCUGAGUCUGCCAGACAACCCCCAUUUCUCUCAGGUUGACCUCGGAUCAGGUAGGGAUACCCGCUGAACUUAAGCAUAUCAAUAAGCGGAGGAAAAGAAACCAACAGGGAUUGCCUCAGUAACGGCGAGUGAAGCGGCAACAGCUCAAAUUUGAAAUCUGGCUCGUUCAGGGUCCGAGUUGUAAUUUGUAGAGGAUGCUUCGGGUACGGCUCCGGUCUAAGUUCCUUGGAACAGGACGUCCCAGAGGGUGAGAAUCCCGUAUGUGACCGGUGUCCACGCCCGUGUGAAGCUCCUUCGACGAGUCGAGUUGUUUGGGAAUGCAGCUCAAAAUGGGUGGUAUAUUUCAUCUAAAGCUAAAUAUUGGCCAGAGACCGAUAGCGCACAAGUAGAGUGAUCGAAAGAUGAAAAGCACUUUGGAAAGAGAGUCAAACAGUACGUGAAAUUGUUGAAAGGGAAGCGCUUGCAACCAGACUUGCCUGCGGGCGAUCAACCGGUAUUCUUACCGGUGCACUCGCCCGUGAACAGGCCAGCAUCGGUUUGGGUGGUUGGAUAAAGUCCCCCGGAACGUAGCUCCUCUCGGGGAGUGUUAUAGCCGGAGGUGCCAUGCAACCUGCCCGGACCGAGGACCGCGCU